rnacentral:rRNA from 1 species
CCUACGGGUGGCAGCAGUGGGGGAUAUUGGACAAUGGGGGAAACCCUGAUCCAGCGAUGCCGCGUGAGGGAAGAAGGUUUUCGGAUUGUAAACCUCUGUGGAGGGGGACGAUAAUGACGGUACCCCUUUAGGAAGCCACGGCUAACUACGUGCCAGCAGCCGCGGUAAUACGUAGGUGGCGAGCGUUGUCCGGAAUUACUGGGUGUAAAGGGCGUGUAGCCGGGCUGACAAGUCAGAUGUGAAAUCCGGGGGCUCAACCCCCGAACUGCAUUUGAAACUGUUGGUCUUGAGUAUCGGAGAGGCAGGCGGAAUUCCUAGUGUAGCGGUGAAAUGCGUAGAUAUUAGGAGGAACACCAGUGGCGGAGGCGGCCUGCUGGACGACAACUGACGGUGAGGCGCGAAAGCGUGGGGAGCAAACAGGAUUAGAUACCCCUGUAGUC